GGGAUUGUGGCUCAGAGAUAGAGUGCUUGCCUAGCAUGCAUGAGGCACUGGGUUCAAUCCUCAGCACCA
rnacentral:tRNA from 1 species